rnacentral:rRNA from 1 species
CCUACGUGCAGCAGCAGUGAGGAAUAUUGGUCAAUGGGCGCGAGCCUGAACCAGCCAAGUAGCGUGAAGGAUGACUGCCCUACGGGUUGUAAACUUCUUUUAUAAAGGAAUAAAGUGAGGCACGUGUGCCUUUUUGUAUGUACUUUAUGAAUAAGGAUCGGCUAACCCCGUGCCAGCAGCCGCGGUAAUACGGAGGAUCCGAGCGUUAUCCGGAUUUAUUGGGUUUAAAGGGAGCGUAGAUGGGUUGUUAAGUCAGUUGUGAAAGUUUGCGGCUCAACCGUAAAAUUGCAAUUGCUACUGGCAGCCUUGAGUACAGUUGAGGUAGGUGGAAUUCGUGGUGUAGCGGUGAAAUGCGGAGAUAUCACGAAGAACUCCGAUUGCGAAGGCAGCCUACUAAACUGCCACUGACAUUGAUGCUCGAAAGUGUGGGUAUCAAACAGGAUUAGAUACCCGAGUAGUC